rnacentral:lncRNA from 1 species
GCUGGCGUUUGAUGUAAUUAGACAUGCAGAACUGUUUGAGUUUUAGUGUAGGAUUAAGUGCAACCUUUGUGGUGAAACUUUUCGAGUAAUUGAAACAAAUAUUUUGAACCGAGAAACGCCAAAACAAAUAGAUUUUAUGGGAAUAGGACGUCAAUUCCCAACAUUCCAGGUACCUGAGUUCAAUAUAAUUCUUCAUUUAAACGCUGGAAUUAGGUCUCGGCGCUAAAAUAUCCAUACCGUCUGAAUCAGCCGAAAUCACAGAUUUCAGAUUUGGGAUUCAUUUGUGAGCAGCAAACAGCAUUUGCAGAGAUUUCUCGCUGAUGUUACUCUGAGAUGAUGUCUUCCGCGACCUUUGGCUUGCUGGCGAACGCUCCACCGUAAAACUGCAAAUUUCUGACUACCAGCUAGCCUACAAUCUUUGGUCAGAGAUACGUACUAUAAAAACUUUUAAUUCAAUGUACGUCGACGGCAAGAGCAAACUCGUUCACUGAAUAUGUGACUGUAUAAAGCAAACUGACUUGCCGCGGAUUAUCACUCGUGUGAAUUUAAUACAUUUUGUGGACGUUAAGAUGGACAGGGCUUUCCAAUAUUCAUACUCUCAAACCUGAAUCAACCGAGGAUGAGAGUGUAUGAGAGUUGGAAGUCACCAAAAACUUGGUUAGCUGUUCUUAAUGCUUUCUCAAUACUAUCAUCUAUCAUGUAUACUAUUAAACUUUUCAGGUUGCUAAACCUGAACCAUUUUGGUUUGACCGUAUUUACCACAUCAUAUACACCAACAUCACAGACACCUUGGGUACUGCAUGGACAGCAUGGUUGUAUCAACAUGGAUAUAGGAGCCACAAUGUGAGAGGACGGUAGAAAUGGGACUGAUCACAUGUUGGAUUGGGGAGCUAUUUAUGUCCGGUAAUUUUAAAGUUCAAACUUACCGCCCAGAGGCGCCGGAAUAUCGAUAAUUGGGGGGGGGGGGCAGAUAUUCAUAUACUCGUGUUCUGCCCAAUUAGUUUCUUUUGAAAUCUAUUGUUUUUACAGUCUGUGAACACGAAUAUAUGAAUAUCUGCCCCCGCAAUUAUCGAUAUUCCGGCGCCUCUAUUACCACCGUUUCUCUUGCUUUAAAAUUGUGUCGUUAUACAUACGAGUCCCAUGGAAGAUAUUGCCCUGAUCCCCCAAUAUCUCUUGGCGAUUCUCCUAAUCAUGCGAAGCUUAUUAGGACCAAUUUGCAUGAUACAUCCCAAUAUCUCCCUAAAAAAAACCAACAUGGCUACGACUGUUUGUGAUUACAGUCUUUAUUUAUUAUUUAUUCUCGAAGAAACUAUACAACAAUAACUAUUUUAAUCUACAAACAAUAUAAUCAUACAUACUAAAACUAAUUCAAAGUGUCUAAAGGUAAAUAAUUGUUCAGUAUUCUUUGUUCUCCAACACGUUCGUUUUGUUAAUUCACUGACAGACAAAAUACCAGCACGACCUAAUUACAAGCGCUUUGUUCCACGUUUUGACCAAAUAAUCAAUACCGUUCACUGCUUUAUGUAUGAAGGAAGGCCAAAUCCUUAGUCUCAUGAUCACCAAGUAGGACCAAACAAGUCCAGACCAUCAUAAGUAAGACCACGCAAAGUCUAGAAUAAUCACAUCUUUUCUAGUUUGUAAAGUAAUUCACCGAGCUUAUAAUACGAGAUUUAAUUUGAACCGGUUCUUUAGAUUUUUUCAAUUUUGUUUUUCAGUACGAAAGUUCUUUUAAAUCGUUGCACAUUUUCCCCAUAAUUCCGAAAUUUAUAGUUUCUAGUAGUUGGACAACCGACCAUUUGUCAAGUUCAUUAAUACCAUUCCCUAGCUCCGUAUACCAACUACCAUAGCUUGUUGAACUGAAGUUGUAUCAUUACCAUUCAUCAUACAUACGGCACACUGUGAUCAAGAUCAUAAAAUCCACACAUAUAUUUUCAACAAAUACUGAUACCACGCAUUAUGCUGUGCAAAUCACAAGUGGUACAUACGAGCGUGAGAUAUAAGGACGGUUUGUCAAACGCGUAUAUUUUCGACAAUGAGAAUAAUGUACAAUUUUUCUCCACGUGAACGACUCACGGUCUUUCGAGAUGGUGUUAAUGAUAUUACUUUUAGCUUUCCAAUAUAAUAUUUCAAGUUAUGCUGUAUUUGGCAUUAUUCCCGUAUAUCAGUCACAUUGUGAUCAGGAAUUUGAAAUCCAUUACUUAGUUUUUUAGUCCGAUUCAACCGUUGCAUAAUAAUGGCGCGAUACAGAAAUUGUUCCUAAAGGCGUAGAUUUUCAACGAUGUAAACACUACAUGAUUUUCGUUAUUGGCCAAACGACUCGCGAUCCUUCGAAUUGCUCAUUAAAUUCCUUUAGACUUUACUGCAGUACGACGUAUUCAAGUAACCCUGUUCAUUGUUGGUAUUCCACACUAAACAUCGAUAUUUCAACAUAAACAAACCGCAACAAGCUUGUGGAAGACACCGUUGCCAUUAUUCCCGUAUAUCAGUCACAUUAUCAGAUCAGAUAUUUUCAAAUCCACUGAGUCACCAACAUAUAUAUAAAUCGCGUAUCAUGAUAAGUGAUGAAACUGUAACAUAUUCAGCAACGGUUCGUAAAAGCCGACGUAUACUUUCAGCGAUGACAACAUAACGUCCAAGUAAAUCACUCACUACUCUUUCGAGAUAGUCGCAAUAUUUCUUGUGGUUUUACAGUACAAUGUUUUUAAGUCAAAUCCAUAUGUUUAUCCCAGUCUUGAAAGCUUCAUCGAACUUCGCAAUGGACGUUUGCCCACACUGGCAAAGCAACAAGUUAUAACAAUAUUUUUUACUAAAUUCCAAUAAGCCAGUUUGGUGCAACUAUACUGCGCAUCCAACUGAGUCGGGUUAAAAUGUCUCUUUCCAUAUUUUAAAACUAAAACACGUUUUUCACUUCAACUGUAUAUCGUACCGAAACGUAGCUGUGUAUUUUUGUUAUUCUGAAUAACUAGUGAGUUCAACAGAAAAGAAAAUGCUCUACAGUACGUUACGAUAUGGUGAAGUGAAAAACAGGCUUAAGCUUUAAGAGAAAGCUGUGGAUUGAGAGGGAUACAAAAGGAUACAACAUCGAAGUUCUGCUUGUAUUUUUCAGGUAGUUGUAUCCCUCUCAAUCCACAGUUGUCUUGUUAUCGUCGCUACCUUCACUGACACAGACCCUUCCAGAUUAAGUUUUGAUGUUUUAAUUAUGGAACUAGUUUUUUUAGAAAAAGAAGAAGUUUUUAAACGAUUGACUUGCUUCAAGUUACAUAAAC